rnacentral:rRNA from 1 species
UACGGAGGGGGCAAGCGUUGUCCGGAUUCAUUGGGCGUAAAGAGCGUGUAGGCGGCCAGGUAGGUCGGUUGUGAAAACUGGAGGCUCAACCUUCAGAGGUCGAUCGAAACCAUCUGGCUAGAGUCCGGAAGAGGAGAGUGGAAUUCCUGGUGUAGCGGUGAAAUGCGCAGAUAUCAGGAAGAACACCAGUGGCGAAGGCGGCUCUCUGGGACGGUACUGACGCUGAGACGCGAAGGCGUGGGGAGCGAACAGG